CUUCAAUCGAUGGCGACCGGCGCACGGGUGAGUAACACGUAUCCAACCUGCCGAUAACUCGGGGAUAGCCUUUCGAAAGAAAGAUUAAUACCCGAUAGUAUAGUAUUUCCGCAUGGUUUCACUAUUAAAGAAUUUCGGUUAUCGAUGGGGAUGCGUUCCAUUAGAUAGUUGGCGGGGUAACGGCCCACCAAGUCAACGAUGGAUAGGGGUUCUGAGAGGAGGGGUCCCCCACAUUGGAACUGAGACACGGUCCAAACUCCUACGGGAGGCAGCAUG
rnacentral:rRNA from 1 species